CUGAGAGACCGUACCCCAAACCGACACAGGUGGUCAGGUAGAGAAUACCAAGGCGCUUGAGAGAACUCUGGCGAAGGAACUAGGCAAAAUAGCACCGUAACUUCGGGAGAAGGAGCGCUGCUGACGGUGAAGGCCUUGCGCCGUAAGCUGUUGGCAGCCGAAGUAACCAGGCCGCUGCGACUGUUUAUUAAAAACACAGCACUCUGCAAACACGAAAGUGGACGUAUAGGGUGUGACGCCUGCCCGGUGCCGGAAGGUUAAUUGAUGGGGUCAGCCGCAAGGCGAAGCUCUUGAUCGAAGCCCCGGUAAACGGCGGCCGUAACAAUAACGGUCCUAAGGUAGCGAAUUUCCUUGUCGGGUAAGUUCCGACCUGCACGAAUGGCGUAACGAUGGCGGCGCUGUCUCCACCAGAGACUCAGUGAAAUCGAAAUCGCGGUGAAGAUGCCGUGUACCCGUGGCUAGACGGAAAGACCCCGUGAACCUUUACUGUAGCUUCACACUGGACUUUGACAUGAUCUGUGUAGGAUAGCUGGGAGGCUUUGAAGUGGUGACGCCAGUUGCCAUGGAGCCGUCCUUGAAAUACCAGCCUGGUCCUGUCGGGGUUCUAACGUCGACCUGUUAUCCAGGUUACGGACAGUGUGUGGUGGGCAGUUUGACUGGGGCGGUCUCCUCCCAAAGAGUAGCGGAGGAGCACGAAGGUGCGCUAAUCACGGUCGGAAAUCAUGAGGUUAGUGUAAAGGCACAAGCGCGCUUGACUGCGGGACAGACAAGUCGAGCAGGUACGAAAGUAGGUCUUAGUGAUCCGGUGGUUCUGUAUGGAAGGGCCAUCGCUCAACGGAUAAAAGGUACUCCGGGGAUAACAGGCUGAUACCGCCCAAGAGUUCAUAUCGACGGCGGUGUUUGGCACCUCGAUGUCGGCUCAUCACAUCCUGGGGCUGAAGCCGGUCCCAAGGGUAUGGCUGUUCGCCAUUUAAAGUGGUACGCGAGCUGGGUUUAGAACGUCGUGAGACAGUUCGGUCCCUAUCUGCCAUGGGCGUUGGAGAUUUGAGAAGAGUUGCUCCUAGUACGAGAGGACCGGAGUGAGCGAACCUCUGGUGUACCGGUUGUCACGCCAGUGGCAUUGCCGGGUAGCUAAGUUCGGACGGGAUAACCGCUGAAAGCAUCUAAGCGGGAAGCCUCCUUCAAGAUGAGAUCUCCCUGGAGCUUUAAGCUCCCUAAAGGGCCGUCGAAGACUACGACGUUGAUAGGCGAGGUGUGGAAGCGUUGUGAGACGUUGAGCUGACUCGUACUAAUUGCCCGUGCGGCUUGACC
rnacentral:rRNA from 1 species